GGGUCAGUAGGUUGGUCGUGCCACAGGUACUUACUGGUCUCACUGAUUCCUCCUUCCUGAAGAACCGUAAUGCCAUUAAUUUGGUGUUGCGGGGAAACAGGACUGUUACUUUGAAAAAAUUAGAGCGUUUAAAGCAAGCUAACGCUUGAAUACAUUAGCAUGGAAUAAUGAAAUAGGACGAUCGAUCCUAUUUUGUUGGUUUCUAGGAUUGACGUA
rnacentral:rRNA from 1 species